GUCCUCAUCGAUCUAGCCUUCAAAAAUGGAUCAAUAAAUUCAAAGGCGUUCUGAAUGACCGUGUCGUCCGUGAUGAACAUGACUUCUCCGCCAACGGUCGAUGGGUUUUCCAAUAAUUGAUUCUUUGCAACGUACGUGACUUGAAUUCUUUCACCACCCCAUCCGAUUCUGUACAAGCAUCCGCCGUGAUCUUUGGCGAUCUUCAAAGCAUGAGUGACGUAAUAAGGGUCUAAUUCUCCGUAAAGAAGAGUUGGGCGAAGACAAACCGUGGCUAAAUUCCCCGAACCUGAUGUCGUCGUGAAUAGAUUUUGGUUUUCUUAAUUUCAUUUUACAGCGAUAAAUAGGAGGAUUAGUACCGUCUGACAAUUCAAUUCCAUUGGCUUCCUUCACAAGGUUCUCUGCUUCGUACUUGGUUCGUCCAUAGUGGCCAAAUAGAUAGCCAUCUUUAGGUGGCGACUUGGCCAAGUGCUCGGCAGCCAAGAACAAAGGAUCUUUUUUUGGUAUCACCACGUGAGUCGUGCUCGUGAAAACUAGGCAGCCGACAUUUGCUGCAAUGCAUUUGUGGAUGACGUGACGAGUGCCUAUUGGGAAACACGUGCCCUGGGGAAUCAGUGCAGGUAUUGAUUAUUACCAUGCAAAUACCAUUGACGUUGACUUCCUCCAUUACUUCGGCGGAUGGGAAAUGACUAAAUCCAGUCUCUGCAGCUGCGUGAAUGACGCAAUGUACGCCGUCGAAAAUGUCAAGACUCAUCGUUUCUGGUUUGGUAAUGUCAGCCACGAACGACUUUAAAACCUUUUUCUCCUCAUAACCUAAUUAUUUUAGAAGGGAAAUGAAACUUGGAAACAUAUGAUGUAUGUGUAAAUUCUAAUUGUACCAAUGCGAUUAGUUAGCACUUCUUUGUCUAGAACGCGAAUCUCUGCCACUCUUUCGUCUUGCUGCAACAAACGAAUAAUGUGUUGCCCAAGAAAUCCUUGGCCCCCUAAAUAUAAGAAGUAAACAAUUUCAAGUGGAUGUGCACCAUAAAUCUGUGAGCACUUUAAAAAUUAAAAUUUAGGGUGUAGUUUUCUUGCAAGUCCUACAUAGUAUUUAGCCAAAUUAUUUUUUUUUUUUUUUUUUGUUUUUUUUUGGUUUCCCAAAAUAAACUUAUUUUAUGUUUUGA